CAGAAAAUGACAUGAAACAUGCCACAGUCUGUGAGUACCUGGGGCAUGGGUGUAAUAAACUUUCUUCAUUUGUAUUUCAUUGGAAAACCUCAGGGGCAGUGAUUCAUCGAGAAACGAUGGCAUAAAAACUAUGGCGGCCCUCACUCCCAUAGCCAGCAAGUGUUUUGAGAGCCUGGUCAAAGGUCUCAUAUGCCCCAUGCUCCCCCCCAGCCUUGACCCCCUACAGUUUGCCUACCAAGCAAACAGGCGCACAGAAGAUGCCAUCACUCAUGUCCUUCACACGGCCCUUUCCCACCUGGAACGUAGCGGCACUUAUGUAAGGAUACUGUUUGUGGACAACAUCUCCGCUUUCAAUACCAUCUUACCGUCCGGGCUCGAUGACAAGCUUCAGCCUAGGCGGGAGGCCAUCACUGCGCAGAUGGAUCCAAAGCUUCCUGACGAACCGCCCCCAAACAGUAAGAGUGUCUGACCAGACAUCAUCCACACUGUGUGUCAGUAUAGGAGCGCCACAGGGCUGCAUCCUCAGCCCUCUCCUGUACUCGUUGUACCCCUACGACUGCGUGGCGACCGACCAUCAAAACCACGUCGUGAAGUUCGCCGAUGACACGGUAGUGGUGGGCCUGGUCUCCGGCGGCGACGAGUCAGCCUACAGGGAGGAGGUGGCCAACGUGGUGCAGCGAUGCACAAGUGACAACCUCUCCUUAAAUGCCAACAAGACCAAGGAGAUCGUGGUCAACCCCAGGAGGAAGAUGGAGGACGAGCUGCAGCUGAUCAUCAUCAAUGGCACAGCGGUGGAGAGGGUGGACACAUUCAAAUAUCUGGGAGUCAACACCUCUGCAGACCUUUCAUGGGAUUGCCACACCACAGCAGUGGUAAAGAAGGCCCAACAGCACCUAUAUGGACUCAGGCGCCUAAAACAGUUUGGCCUUAGACCCAACACCAUCAGGGACUUCUACAGAGGCACCAUAGAGAGCCUUCUGGCCUUCAGCUUCACAGCCUGGUAUGGCAGCUGCACAGACAGAAACCAUAAGGCACUGGGGAGGGUGGUUCCGAACUGCCAGUAACACCACUGGGUGUGAGCUGCCCAGUCUGGAGGACCUCUACAGCCAGCGCUGCCUCAGCAAAGCCCAGGGGAUAAUGGAGGACCCCACCCACCCCCACAAAGGACUAUUCAUUCCCCUGAGGUCCAAAAGGGUAGACUCCAUUAGACUGCUAAAUAAAUGUUGACAGUAGAAAUGAUGGGUAAUAUCUAAAUGUGCAAUACCACACUGCACUUUGCACUACUGCAUUUUCCUGACCGCCGGUUUUAUUGUUGCCUGUUUGCCUGUUUUUCAUUGCCAUGCUGACUGACAGUUGCUUUGUAUAAGACACUUUUGUUUAUCUUUCAUAAUAACAUUGUCUUUUUUUUAAGCUGAGAACCGAAACUAAAAAGUAACGCACACACAGAAAAUGACAGGCUGAAGCAUGCCACAGUCUGUGUGUACCUGGGGCAUGGGUGUAAUAAACUUUCUUCAUUUGUAUUUCAUUGGAAAACCUCAGGGGCAGUGAUUCAUCGAGCAACGAUGGCAUAAAAGCUAUGGGGGCCCUCACUACCAUAGCCAGCAAGUGUUUUGAGAGCCUGGUCAAAGGUCUCAUAUGCCCAAUGCUCCCCCCCAGCCUUGACCCCCUAUAGUUUGCCUACCAAGCAAACAGGCGCACAGAAGAUGCCAUCACUCAUGUCCUUCACACAGCCCUUUCCCACCUGGAAUGUAGUGGCACCUAUGUAAGGAUGCUGUUUGCGGACAACAUCUCCGCUUUCAAUACCAUCUUACCAUCCGGGCUCGAUGGCAAGCUUCGAGACCUAGGCGGGAGGCCAUCGCUGCGCAGAUGGAUCCAAAGCUUCCUGACGAACCGCCCCCAAACAGUAAGAGUGGCUGACCAGACAUCAUCCACACUGUGUGUCAGUAUAGGAGCGCCACAGGGCUGCAUCCUCAGCCCUCUCCUGUACUCGUUGUACCCCUACGACUGCGUGGCGACUGACCAUCAAACCACGUUGUGAAGUUCGCCGAUGACACGGUAGUGGUGGGCCUGGUCUCCGGCGGCGAUGAGUCAGCCUACAGGGAGAAGGUGGCCAACGUGGUGCAGCGAUGCACAAGUGACAACCUCUCCCUAAAAGCCAACAAGACCAAGGAGAUCGUGGUCAACCCCAGGAGGAAGAUGGAGGACGAGCUGCAGCCGAUCAUCAUCAAUGGCACAGCGGUGGAGAGGGUGGACACAUUCAAAUAUCUGGGAGUCAACACCUCUGCAGACCUCUCAUGGGAUUGCCACACCACAGCAGUGGUAAAGAAGGCCCAACAGCACCUAUAUGGACUCAGGCGCCUAAAACAGUUUGGCCUUAGACCCAACACCAUCAGGGACUUCUACAGAGGCACCAUAGAGAGCCUUCUGGCCUUCAGCUUCACAGCCUGGUAUGGCAGCUGCACAGACAGAAACCAUAAGGCACUGGGAAGGGUGGUUCCGAACUGCCAGUAACACCACUGGGUGUGAGCUGCCCAGUCUGGAGGACCUCUACAGCCAGCGCUGCCUCAGCAAAGCCCAGGGGAAAAUGGAGGACCCCACCCACCCCCACAAAGGACUAUUCAUUCCCCUGAGGUCCAAAAGGGUAGACUCUAUAAGACUGCUAAAUAAAUGUUGACAGUAGAAAUGAUUGGUAAUAUCUAAAUGUGCAAUACCACACUGCACUUUGCACUACUGCAUUUUCCUUACCGCCGGUUUUAUUGUUGCCUGUUUGCCUGUUUUUCAUUGCCAUUCUCUUUGAUAUGUGUAGGCUUUUUAGUCUGUAUGGAGCUACCGAGCAGGAAGUAUUUCACAUGUAUGUACUGCAUCUAAGUGACAAUAAAGUGAAAGUAAAGUAAAG